AAGGGUUAACUCAGUAGUUGUGUGAAGGUCCCUUCUGCUACUUGACUGAAUUCAUUCUCGACUUCUAGUCUGUUGCUGUUCCUUGUGAGGCAAUACAGGUCUUCAUUGGUCAGUCUGUUGCUAUCCUUGUGAGGCAAUACAGGUCUUCAUUGGUCAGUCUGUUGCUAUCCUUGUGAGGCAAUACAGGUCUUCAUUGGUCAGUCUGUUGCUAUCCUUGUGAGGCAAUACAGGUCUUCAUUGGUCAGUCUGUUGCUAUCCUUGUGAGGCAAUACAGGUCUUCAUUGGUCAGUCUGUUGCUAUCCUUGUGAGGCAAUACAGGUCUUCAUUGGUCAGUCUGUUGCUAUCCUUGUGAGGCAAUACAGGUCUUCAUUGGUCAGUCUGUUGCUAUCCUUGUGAGGCAAUACAGGUCUUCAUUGGUCAGUCUGUUGCUAUCCUUGUGAGGCAAUACAGGUCUUCAUUGGUCAGUCUGUUGCUAUCCUUGUGAGGCAAUACAGGUCUUCAUUGGUCAGUCUGUUGCUAUCCUUGUGAGGCAAUACAGGUCUUCAUUGGUCAGUCUGUUGCUAUCCUUGUGAGGCAAUACAGGUCUUCAUUGGUCAGUCUGUUGCUAUCCUUGUGAGGCAAUACAGGUCUUCAUUGGUCAGUCUGUUGCUAUCCUUGUGAGGCAAUACAGGUCUUCAUUGGUCAGUCUGUUGCUAUCCUUGUGAGGCAAUACAGGUCUUCAUUGGUCAGUCUGUUGCUAUCCUUGUGAGGCAAUACAGGUCUUCAUUGGUCAGUCUGUUGCUAUCCUUGUGAGGCAAUACAGGUCUUCAUUGGUCAGUCUGUUGCUAUCCUUGUGAGGCAAUACAGGUCUUCAUUGGUCAGU